UACGUAGGGUGCAAGCGUUGUCCGGAAUUAUUGGGCGUAAAGAGCUCGUAGGCGGUCUGUCGCGUCGGCUGUGAAAACCCGGAGCUCAACUCCGGGCCUGCAGUCGAUACGGGCAGACUGGAGUACGGCAGGGGAGACUGGAAUUCCUGGUGUAGCGGUGAAAUGCGCAGAUAUCAGGAGGAACACCGGUGGCGAAGGCGGGUCUCUGGGCCGAUACUGACGCUGAGAAGCGAAAGCAUGGGGAGCGAACAGG
rnacentral:rRNA from 1 species